AUAGCCGACCUGAGAGGGUGAUCGGCCACACUGGAACUGAGACACGGUCCAGACUCCUACGGGAGGCAGCAGUAGGGAAUCUUCCGCAAUGGGCGAAAGCCUGACGGAGCAACGCCGCGUGAGUGAUGAAGGUCUUCGGAUCGUAAAACUCUGUUAUUAGGGAAGAACAUAUGUGUAAGUAACUGUGCACAUCUUGACGGUACCUAAUCAGAAAGCCACGGCUAACUACGUGCCAGCAGCCGCGGUAAUACGUAGGUGGCAAGCGUUAUCCGGAAUUAUUGGGCGUAAAGCGCGCGUAGGCGGUUUUUUAAGUCUGAUGUGAAAGCCCACGGCUCAACCGUGGAGGGUCAUUGGAAACUGGAAAACUUGAGUGCAGAAGAGGAAAGUAGAAUUCCAUGUGUAGCGGUGAAAUGCGCAGAGAUAUGGAGGAACACCAGUGGCGAAGGCGACUUUCUGGUCUGUAACUGACGCUGAUGUGCGAAAGCGUG
rnacentral:rRNA from 1 species